GUUGUACGGAAACUGAUCAUUAUACAGGGAAGGGCAUCCUUAAUCAUCUUCAUUCUGGCUAUCACGAUCUUCGUCAACGCAAUCUCCCUAGGUGGGGUAGGCAUAUCGAACAUGAUUGGGAAGAUUGAGCAACACGAAUACAUGGGUUUCGAGGACCUCUGCAAAUAUGAUGCUUAAUUUGUCGUCGUCACCUCUUCUUUUCUCCUCUCACAUUUAAUAGGAUUCCCAAGUGUCAUAAUGAGGCGGGCUCAGUAUACAAGUCGGCGUUGUGCCAUUAUGCACGUUUGUGGGAUGAAUGAAUGAUUGCAUUGAUUCAGCUCCGCUGAAAAUUCAGUAUGUUUGCUUUCAUAUGCUGUUAGUGUCUUUCCGUAAGAAAAAAUUCUGCUGUAUUUGGAGCUGCAGUAGGAAAGAUACAAAAUGAGUGUUUUCAGUUUUUUUUGUUUUUUGUUUUUUGUUUUUUGUUUUUGUAUUUUUGGGUUCUUACAUGGAAUGGAACUUUUGAAUAAUUGUAAUAAUUUAUUGUUUGACCCUUGAAAAUUCAAUUGAUUCAACUUUUGAGUUUUAUAUUUCACCAUCA